UGGUUCGCGCCGCGUGGGCUUGGACCGUGGCCGCUCUGGCCGACGCACGUCGGCCCGGCCGAAAUGCAUGCGGAGCGCAUACGCGUCGCCGCGACGUUGACCAGCGUUGUAGACACCUCGCUGGUGACGUCCGGGUUCGCGGCUUCCGGAGCCCAUUUAUUUUCGACCUCAGAUCAAGCAGGAUUACCCGCUGAACUUAA
rnacentral:misc_RNA from 1 species